GGAGGGGUGGCCGAGUGGUUGAAGGCGCUUCCCUGCUAAGGAAGUAUACGGUUUACGCUGUAUCGAGGGUUCGAAUCCCUCUCCCUCCG